rnacentral:rRNA from 1 species
UACGAAGGGGGGCUAGCGUUGCUCGGAAUGACUGGGCGUAAAGCGCGUGUAGGCGGCCCGGUAAGUCCGCUGUGAAAGUCGGGGGGCUCAACCCUCGGAUGCCGGUGGAUACUGUCGGGCUAGAGUGCGGGAGAGGCGAGUGGAAUUCCUGGUGUAGCGGUGAAAUGCGCAGAUAUCAGGAGGAACACCAAUUGCGAAGGCAGCUCGCUGGAACGUAACUGACGCUGAGACGCGAAAGCGUGGGGAGCAAACAGG